rnacentral:rRNA from 1 species
UACGUAGGAUGCGAGUGUUAUCCGGAUUUAUUGGGUUUAAAGGGUGCGUAGGCGGACUGUCAAGUCAGCGGUAAAAUUGAGAGGCUCAACCUCUUCCCGCCGUUGAAACUGGUGGUCUUGAGUGGAUGAGAAGUACGCGGAAUGCGUGGUGUAGCGGUGAAAUGCAUAGAUAUCACGCAGAACUCCGAUUGCGAAGGCAGCGUACCGGCAUCCAACUGACGCUGAGGCACGAAAGCGUGGGGAUCAAACAGG